GGCGGGGUAGAGGAGUUCGGCCGUCCUCACGGGGCUCAUAAUCCCGGAAUCGUGGGUUCGAAUCCCACCCCCGCUA
rfam:Frankia sp. ETN1h contig_21, whole genome shotgun sequence.